GCACUGCUGACGAGUCCCAAACGGGAUGAAACAACUGUCCAGUGC
rnacentral:hammerhead_ribozyme from 1 species